GCCUCCCUCCCUUCAGGGGCCUCUGGGCGUGAAGGUCCUUCCAACUGCUUGCUAGAAAAUCUCUGCUUCUAUUUGCAGCUGCACCUGACCCUUGAAAACUGGGAAAGUGUCGGUUUUGCCUAUUCUGAUUUCAUUCCUUGGGAGAUGAUGUUUAAAUUCCGGGGAAACAUCCUUCGCGAUUGCAGGAGGAAGUAAUUGCGGAUGAGGGGAGAGGGCCUUCUAAAAUUAAUUGUUUUUCCUUGAACUAAUGGCCAGAUUAAAGAGCAUUAAAUUGAAGAAGGCAGGCAGUGUCAGGCCCCCUCACAGUCUCACUAUGACUUAGGUCUUCUUCUUGAGUCUCAAGUCAGAAGCAAAACACACGGACAGGGUUGAGCUAAGGAUGACUGUUGAAGCAAUUCCACAAAAAGGCUUCCAACUUUCCCAGGAAAUGAUCUAAGGCAAAUUAUUAUUUAACAACAGAACUACUGACCUAACACAAGGUAAAAAACUGAGGCUCAAUGAAGUUAAGCAACUUCCUCAAGGUCAGGCAGUCAUGAAGCUGGGAUUCCAUCAUUCAUCUAUUAAUUCAAAACACUUUUGCUGAGAACCUAUGUAUCGUGCCCUAUGUUAGGUGUUGGGAAAACAGCAAUUAAGACAGUGUCCUUGGCCUCAUAAGCCUUACAAUCAAGUGGGAGAAAGUAAACAAGUCAUCAAACAAGAUAAUCCCUAGUUAUAAUCACUACUGUUAAGUAAAUAAAGGGUUAUGUGAUCAAGAGUAGCUGGCAUGGGAUAGGGAGAGCUUCUCUGAGGAGGUGGGGAAAGAUUCACCUGAGGAGAUGAGUCAAGAACAAGCUCUCUGAUUCUAGAGUUCUUGACCACUAUGUUGUAUUGGCCUAUAAAAAUUAUACCAUCUCCAAAAUCUGCCCUUAGGGGAGAAUGGAUUAGAGGGGGAAACCUGAAGCAGGGCGUCGGAAAGACUGACUCUAGCAACGUGGUAAUUCAGGAGCCAAGGAUGGUGGCCAAAGGAAAGAUGUGCCCACAUCCCCCACUCCCCUGGAAGGCAAGUCCCAGCCAUGGCAGAAGUGGAGUAGGUAGGGUAGGGAAAGGAAUUGAGAAGUAGUGGUGAUUCCUGGGAGCUCUGGUGGAUCUGACUUCUCUCCAGUACAAAUGUGGAAAAAGUCAGAGCCUCUGGACCUUGACUCCAGGGUCAAGAGCCCCAUCUUCUGGCCUAUUGUGCAAAUUACAAAAGGAAGUAGGCCACAGAGGCAGCAGCUAAGGCUGCUGCUAUCUGGGGCACUGCAGAAGACAGGCUCUAUCCUCCUAGGGAUGAUUUGGUCUCUCCUUCCCAGAAAAGGCCGGUUCACUUGGCUCUAGGCACGAGGCUCCUGACAUCUACUGCUCCUUACCCUGGUUGGAAAAGCUCAAAUACAUGGCUCUCAGCCUGGCCGGCAGACAAGUCCUAGUGGAGCUGGGGGUAUUCAGCCAAGGACAUCACCUCACACUGAUUAUUUUUCUAAAGAAAUCAGAAAAAAACAGCAGAACAGAAUUCAGAGCCUUCUUGAAUUUUCAGUCAGCCCAGAAAGAGGUAUAAAGUGGACAAGAAAAUGGAAAAUACAUGUGUAGAGGCAGAGACAACACAUGCAUGCACGCGCACGCGCACGCACACACACACACACACACACACAUCAUACCAAUAGCGAGGCAGGGAAGCAUGCUACAUGGAUGGCCUCACUUCAUCCUUGCAACAACUCUGAGCAUGCUGCCAGCCUGGAACACUACACAUCCCAGGGAAGAGUCUGAGGCGCCACAAAAGCCGAGAGCCAAGCUCCUGGCUGUGAAAAUCGCUCCCCACUAUUCGUCAUCAUCAACAUCAUCCACAGAACUUCGUUACACCACACUCAGUUACACUUUGCUCCAGACUGAGAGAGGCUCUGGGGCAGAAUUCAAGUGAAAUGGCAAAACCUGACUUCUGCCUUCUUUGAUAUCACUAUUAAGAUAUUUGGACAGAGGCAGAGGUAGGGGAAGGGACCUCUAGAGGGAGCAGAACAAAACAGAAAAGCUGACUGUAAAAAAAACUGUUGUCAUCUGCAAGUCAAGAAUAAGCCUUGGAGGAGAAAAGCUGUAGGACUUCCAGAUCCAGAUGGGAAGCCAUUCAGAAAUUUGAAAGCAGCAAGUGUUAACCAAGGACUACUUGCCAAGUCCUUGAUACAAGAGCUGAACACAUUCAUAGUCAAUACAUUUAUCUUAUCCAUGUCUAACCAAACCUAACCCUGCUUAGAAAUCAGGUCUAUUUAAAGUGAUUUCACUCCACAUCUUGUCUAUUUAGGGAUAAGACCUCCUGAGCUUGUUAUACUAAGUAUUAUACUAAGUAGGGAAGUUCUUAUUUCACUUUUAGCCCAUAGGCCUGGGACAGCUUUAAGGUGGCAGCAAAUUCAAUACCUGACAUUUGUAAUCACUGCUAUCUCAUUUAUCUUCAAUGGAUUGGUAAAUGUACAUAGAACAUUUGAAGUCUAGGAAGUGGAAAUGUAGCUAGGUAUAGGGACUUGCCCAGGGCAGUUAAUAGCAGAGCUGGGUCAAGAACUACUAAUGCUUUCUACUUAAUUGUAUGGCUUCCUAGAAAUAUAAUUCCAUUCAGCCAUUUCCUGCAUAAAAUUGAAUUGGCUUCAAUG